AUGGACCGCGCGUCCACUGCGGUUGUGAGCGCGCCGUCCGCGUCCACCUGAGAGCGGCUCGCUACGUGUUGUUAGGU
rnacentral:sRNA from 1 species